AGCGAACGCUGGCGGCAGGCCUAACACAUGCAAGUCGAACGAAGUCUUCGGACUUAGUGGCGGACGGGUGAGUAACACGUGGGAACGUGCCUUUAGGUUCGGAAUAACUCAGGGAAACUUGUGCUAAUACCGAAUGUGCCCUUCGGGGGAAAGAUUUAUCGCCUUUAGAGCGGCCCGCGUCUGAUUAGCUAGUUGGUGAGGUAAAGGCUCACCAAGGCUACGAUCAGUAGCUGGUCUGAGAGGAUGACCAGCCACAAUGGGACUGAGACACGGCCCAAACUCCUACGGGAGGCAGCAGUGGGGAAUCUUGCGCAAUGGGCGAAAGCCUGACGCAGCCAUGCCGCGUGGAUGAUGAAGGUCUUAGGAUUGUAAAAUCCUUUCACCGGUGAAGGUAAUGACUGUAGCCGGAGAAGAAGCCCCGGCUAACUUCGUGCCAGCCGCCGCGGUAAGAC
rnacentral:rRNA from 1 species